rnacentral:rRNA from 1 species
UACGGAGGGGGCUAGCGUUGUUCGGAAUUACUGGGCGUAAAGGGCGCUCAGGCGGCUGCUCAAGUCAGGCGUGAAAGGCCUGGGCUCAACCCGGGAAUUGCGCUUGAGACUGGGCUGGCUUGAGUGCGGGAGAGGAUGGUGGAAUUCCCAGUGUAGAGGUGAAAUUCGUAGAUAUCGGGAAGAACACCGGUGGCGAAGGCGGCCAUCGGGACCGCAAGUGACGUUGAGGCGCGAAAGCGUGGGGAGCAAACAGG